UGUUUAGUGUAAGUAUGUCCCAGACAACAUUUAGGACAUACUUAUACUAAAA
rnacentral:pre_miRNA from 1 species